rnacentral:lncRNA from 1 species
UUAAUUUUUUUUUCUUCUUUUUUUCUUUUUCCUGGCUCCAAGGAGUUUCACCUCAUGUAUGCAUGACUUAGUAUGCAGCCAAGGAUUCAUAGAGUCUCCUAUUGUGAGUGUUGGAGCUGUUUGUUUGGGCAGCUCACUCCUUUCUCAUUCUCUGAACACCAAGUUCCAACUGAUUCAUUUUUGUCACAUGUAGUAGGUGAUAGGGAAAUUCUAUACAAGUAAAAAAUAUAUGCCCAGAACCUCAAUUAUUAAAUGGAACUUUAUUAUUGUUAUUUCUUACUUUGUCUUUUUUAUGAUACCUUUAUAGGCAUUCAGUUUUGAAUAUACUAAGUCAGUCAGUGUU